GGGACCGUAGCUCAGUCGGUUAGAGCAGAGGACUCAUAAUCCUUUGGUCCAGGGUUCGAGCCCCUGCGGUCCCA
rnacentral:tRNA from 1 species